rnacentral:lncRNA from 1 species
AUUGGGUUGCCUCAAUUCAUUACCAGAACAAAGAGCAAUCAAAAACCAAAACACAUAAAAGGUAAAAGGCCAAGCUGCAAGAUCAAGUCCAUAGUAGGGGAUCUGAACUCUGACAUGGCUGCUCAACCUCCCACAAUCCCUCUCCUUACCCCUUACAAAUUGGGAAAAUUCAAUCUUUCUCACAGGUACUUGCUUAAUCUUUUCUACAUUGCAAUAAGCUGAAGAAUGUUGCCUUUGUUUUAUCUUUUUUGUCUAAAUUUGUAUGUUGGGUCAUUUUGUUAGUUAGUGCAUUAGUUAGCCAUAGCUAACAAGAAAAUUGAAGUUGCUGCUUAUGUUUAACCUAAUUUGGUUUACUGGGUAUUUUGGUCAUUGGGGUGGCUUGAUAGUUAUAUAGCAAACUGCUGCAUUCUUUGUGAGUUUGGGUAAUGAAUAGGAAUUCUGGGGCUGUUUCUGCUGAUGUCUAGAAUUGAUAAACUAGUUGUCUUGCUUUCACAAUUGUGUAAUUGUCAAAUUCCCAGCUGCUUGCUCAUGCCCUUUUCUCCUAACGACAACGUUCCUCAGCCUCGCGCUUGUAUUUAUAAUCUAAAAUGUCUGUGUGUUUUUCAGAGUUGUUUUAGCGCCAUUGACUAGACAGAGAUCAUACCACAAUGUUCCUCAAGCACAUGCCAUCUUAUAUUACUCUCAGAGAACAUCCAAUGGGGGUCUUCUCAUAGCUGAAGCCACAGGAGUUUCUGACACAGCUCGAGGGUAAUUUGAAGUAGAGAAGCUUUCAAAUUCCGAUGUUUGAUUUUAAGUAACUAAGCUACAUUUUAGGGUGCUUUCUUCAUUUCAACGUUUGAUGACAUUUUUGUUUCUUUCGUAUGCGCAGGUACCCAGAUACUCCUGGUAUAUGGACAAAGGAGCAAGUGGAAGCAUGGAAACCCAUUGUUGAUGCCGUUCAUGCUAAAGAUGGCGUCUUCUUCUGUCAGAUUUGGCAUGUGGGGAGGGUUUCAAAUAGUGGUAUGUUUCUGGCGUACACCUUAUGACCUCACUAUCGUAGAAGAACUUGUGAGCAUAAGUGAAAAAUUAGACCAUUGAAGCAUCAUAACGCUGAUUUACCUUUCAUAAUUCAUUAUGAAAACUCAAUGUUUUCAGCAGGAUUUUCUUUAGAUGGAAGAAACUUGAUAUAUCUAAAUAACUCAGAAUUUGAUAUAUGUUUGAAUUCAUUAUGAAAUUCAAUGUUUUCAGCAUCAAAUUUUUUAUGGAAGAAGUUUAAUACACUGAAAUAACUAAGAAUUCAGAAGUAGUAUAGCAUGUGCAAAGCUUCACAACAAGUGAGUGAUUAUGAUUGAUGAUAUCGUUGCUCAAAUGGCGAUCAAAUUGUGACCUGUUAAGAUCCGGACUUGGUGUUGAUUGAUGGAACCAUUGUAUGUUAAACCAACAUGUAGAAUAACAUGAAAAAUGGAUAUGCUUGAUUGUCUGCAGACUAUUUCCAUGCACAAUUGGUGUUUUUAUUGAUUGAUCUGAUCUACCUGGAAAAAAAUAGGACUCUUUUUGUUAAAUCAUAAGUAUCAGUGAUGCUUCUCGACUUAAACUUUUAAAUAAUCUGCAUUACUCCUACUUUUAUUGCAAUUUGAGACAACUGAUUCCCUCUUUGUGUGAAAGAGUAUGCUGCUGUGGCUGUGUUGUUUAUUAUCUUGAGACGUCAGAUUGUGAUUCUAUCUUUCCUUGUUUACAGGUUAUCAACCAAAUGGGCAAUCUCCAAUCUCUUCUACUGACAAGCCAAUACGAUUAAAUGGUAUUGAUGCCAGUGAAUUCACACCUCCAAGGCGAUUAAGGACCGAUGAAAUUCCACAAAUUGUCAAUGAUUUUAGACUCGCUGCAAAGAAUGCUAUUGAAGCUGGUAAUUUGUCUUUACGUUAAAAUGAAAUAGAAUUUGUGAGCACUCAAUUUGCUUCAGAGCUUGUGCAAAAUGAACCAUAUUUUAUCAGCUAAAUGUAGUAAAGUAAAGGGAAUAAACGUACUUGAAUACAUAUAUUACAAGUAGUCUUGCCAUAAUUAUUCUAUCUGCAGUUGUUAUAGGGAGCAACUAUAAGUAGUUUUAUGCUAAUGGCUUGAACUGAAUUUGAACUCCCACAUUAAUAUUAUUUGUUAUUCUUGACCUUCCACAUCAACAAUUUAGCUUUAGUGGUUUUGAGAGCCGAUAUAAGAAAAAGGGAGUAGCUUUUGCUUAAUGAAUAAAAGGAUUGGUUCAUAUUUAGCUUUAGAAUUUCAUGAUUGUUUGAAUUUUGUGAAUCAUUAAUUGGUGUUGUAAUGAGCCCUUCUAACUGUAGGGAGGUCAAAAACAGUAUUGUAUUAAAGACAGGAGCCAUAAAAGCAAAAGUUAUCCAAGUUUUAUUUUCAAAAGGUUGUAUUAGAAGGAUGGAAUGAACAAGUCUUCUAGGCAUAUCAGUUAUCAUCUUCUCCUUGUUUCUCUUUCUUUUGUGUUGAAUGCAUGAGGCCAAAGGGGGAGGGGAUUCGAACUCUGGCCUUGAGUGUGGGGUAAAAAGCCCGCUACCACCGAAGCUACAAGCCCCUGCUCAUCUUCUCAUUGUUUUCAAUUGCAUGGUAAACAACCAUUAUUUCUUUUGUCUUGUACACUGAAAUAAUUUGUCUGCUAUAUACAGGCUUUGAUGGAGUUGAAAUUCAUGGGGCCCAUGGCUACCUUCUUGAUCAGUUUUUGAAAGAUCAAGUGAAUGAUCGAACAGACCAAUAUGGUGGAUCUCUAGAGAAUCGUUGUCGAUUUCCUUUGGAAGUCGUUGAAGCUGUUGUUAAAGAGAUAGGAGCAGAUAAAGUUGGAAUUAGACUAUCUCCAUUUGCUGACUAUAUGGACUCAGGGGAUUCAAAUCCAAAUGCGUUAGGCCUUUAUAUGGCCAAUUCCUUGAACAAAUAUGGGAUUCUGUACUGCCACAUGGUUGAGCCGAGAAUGAAGACAGUUGGAGAGAAAAGUGAAAGCCCCCACAGUCUUCUACCCAUGAGAAAGGCUUUCAAUGGUACCUUCAUUGCUGCUGGUGGUUUUGACAGGGAAGAUGGGAACAAAGCUGUGGCAGAGGGCCGUGCAGAUCUCAUCGCAUAUGGACGUUGGUUUUUGGCUAAUCCAGAUUUGCCAAAAAGAUUUGAGCUCAAUGCUCCUCUAAACGAGUACAAUAGAGACACAUUCUACAUAUCUGAUCCGGUUAUUGGUUACACUGAUUACCCAUUCCUUGAAACCACUGCUUAAGUUUCCUCCCGCCUACGGACGCUUGAAGCCUUGAACACUUUACCUGUAGGCUUUGUUGUUACUUUUCUUUCACCGUAACAUGUAGUUUAUACGAAACAAAGUGAAUAAAAGUUUAAGGGAAAGUGGCCUUGGCCAACCAGAGAUAGUUACAUUCUUAUUUGGUAGUCAUUUUUCUGCUUUGACAAAGUGAAUCCAGAUUCAUUGCAUGUUAAGAGAUGUAGCUAUAUAUUGAGAUUAUUUGUACGGGACGUUGGAAAUUUCAAAAGAACGGAUGCAUUUGGCAUGUUAUUGUUUCUACUGCGGGCG